rnacentral:rRNA from 1 species
UACGGGGGGGGCAAGCGUUGUUCGGAAUUACUGGGCGUAAAGGGCUCGUAGGCGGCCAACUAAGUCAGACGUGAAAUCCCCAGGCUCAACCUGGGAACUGCGUCUGAAACUGGGGAGCUAGAGUGUGGAAGAGGGGGGUGGAAUUCCAGGUGUAGCAGUGAAAUGCGUAGAGAUCUGGAGGAACACCGAUGGCGAAGGCAGCCCCCUGGGCUAACACUGACGCUCAUGCACGAAAGCGUGGGGAGCAAACAGG